UUUUAGAGUUGGGGAAGAUGAAAUGCGGUAAAACAGUUAAGAGGAGAAAGCUUCUUCUACUUGGGGAAGAUGAUGAUGAUGUUGAAUUAAUAUAUAUCCCAAUUUUCAUUUGAUAUUUUGCACUGUCAUCACAACUAAAGAUUCCAUCAAUAUGUUUUUAUUUUAAUUUUUUUUACGUCUUCAACUUCAUAUGCAAUAUUUCUAUAUUCAGCAAAUUAUGUAUAUGGUUUUGUAGUUUAGGCAUUUAAGAAAUUUGAGACUCAUAAACGUCCUAAUGAGAGUUGGUGUCUUGCAUAGCUUUUUAGCACAUGAUGCUUUAAACGCUACUCAUCUAAUUUUAGUGUCUAUUUCCGUGUUUGUAAACUACAGAAUAGCAUACAUUUUGAUUCUCCUCAGUUGAGUAAUUAAUGGUUCUAAAAAAAAAAAAUCUGUAUUUGAG
rnacentral:lncRNA from 1 species